GCAGCUUAAGUUUCUUCACGGCCGUCUGCUGCCAGAUCUCCAGUAAUGUCUCAUUUUUCAAGUGGGUAAAAAUUGACUGGGGUGUUGCUAGAUUCAAUCAAUAAUUAUUCAGUGAAUUCCUUUGUUUUUAAAAAUGAAAAAAAAAAAAAAACAAAAAUUAUCCAGAGAAACAUGUGAAGAUUAAAGUGGCAUUCUGAUAAAAGAUCAAGAAAGAUUCCGCACAGAUUUAUUCCUGUUCCUUUGCAAUCUAUCACUCAUCUAUCUAAUUCUAAUUUUAAUAUUUAUUAAAGCAACAGAUUAAAGCCCUAAUUUUUUUUUAUUAAAUUAAAUUGUUUUUAGACAUCAGUUACUGUCUUCAACAGGGUAGAAAGAUUGGUUGUGGUUUUCUUUUGAGAGAUCUGGUGCUGAAGAGUGAAGAGAAGCAUUUGAUGUAUAAUCAAAAUUAAGUCUUGAUAUAGAAAUGGCUUGAAAUAUCUGUGAAAUGGAUAAUUCGGGAUUGGAAGUUCGAAUCCGGAACUGAAAGAUUUCCAGAUAGGCAGUUGGGUUCCAGCAAAGCCUGGCUUGCUGGCAUUGGAGCUGAUCUGCAAAACAGUGCAGGAAAAUGAGCAGAUUAGAGCAAAUUGGUCAGGCUUGCAAACAAUUCCACAAGAUUUUUGCAUAGGCCAAAUGAAGCAAUUAGAAGCAGGAGCGUUCUUGCAGGGAAACGAUGCUCUUACCAGGGAUGAUAGGUAUGCAAGAGGGAGCUCUGAACUUGUCUAUUGAUCAUGCAGACAACUGGAACAAUGUUUCAUUUGGGAACCUCUUGGCACUGGUGCAUGCUGCAGGAGCAGUUGAGAAAUUCCCUCGUCAGUUCACAGAAUGCAGAUGGAAGUUCUGUUAGUUCCAGAAUCUCUUUCGAACUGAAUUAUCCACCUGGUUAAAUCUAAACCUUAAUGAGAUACCGAUACUAGAAGAUGUAGAGGAAAAUGUUGAAGAAAGUGACAUCCAAGGGAACAAAGAGCAGUCAGUGGUGGUGAGAGAACUAUCAGAAAUGAUGGAGACCACAAGCCAGGCGAACUAGUUGCUGAAGCAAAUAAGACACCUUAACAGAAACGAAGAAGAAAAAAGUCCAGGCCAAAGGGGGUUGUUGAAGGCCAGACACCGGAACAGAAACCGAGAAGAAAAGGGCACCGGGCAAAAAAACCAAGAGGGCCUGGUACAGUAGCUCCCAAUACGCAAGCUCAACACCAAUUGGUUUAACGUCGGUGUGGCGCUUAGGCUUUAAUCUAAUUGACGAAAUGGUGGAGCAGUUCACCUAUCUUAAUAUAAAUGCUGAUGGUCCAAGUCAGUAUUUUGAAACUGCAUGCUGUUGCCCUUUUUAUCAAAGAGAUGGAGAAAAGGAAAUCACGGCCACAAAAUCAAUAUUUGUAGACUUAAUUGACCAAAAAUGAUAGUCUGAGGACUAAUUUGGUACUUUCGCCAUAGUUGAGGGACCAAAACGGUAAUUAACUCAUGUCCAUUUUAGCUUAGAUUAAGAGACAACUUUUGUGCCAGUAAGCAAAAGAUGAAUGAAAAAUAAUACUCAAACCCUUUCCUCUUCAUUAAAUAGCAAGAUAUUGUAGUUGUACAUAAGAAGAGGAAAAAAUGGUUGGGAAGUGGUAUAACUCGUUUACCAAGUGUCAAAUCCUCUCAUUUAUACUAGGCAUUAGGCAAUACAUACAUGUGAUUGUGAUGAAUAAUUGACAAACCAAAUCAAAAUGAUGGAAGUUGAUGGUUGCCACAUCAAUUUGGAGGC